AUUGAACGCUGGCGGCAGGCUUAACACAUGCAAGUCGAGCGAGCGGCGGACGGGUGAGUAAUGUCUGGGAAACUGCCUGAUGGAGGGGGAUCACUACUGGAAACGGUAGCUAAUACCGCAUACCCUCAGAUGUGCCCAGAUGGGAUUAGCUAGUCGGUGGGGUAAUGGCUCACCUAGGAGACGAUCCCUAGCUGGUCUGAGAGGAUGACCAGCCACACUGGAACUGAGACACGGUCCCAACUCCGACGGGAGACAGCAGGGGGGAAUAUUGCACAAAGGGCGCAAGCCUUAUGCAGCCAGGCCGCGUGUGUGAAGAAGGCCUUCGGGUUGUAAAGCACUUUCAGCGAGGAGGCGUUACUCGCAGAAGAAGCACCGGCUAACUCCGUGCCAGCAGCCGCGGUAAUUC
rnacentral:rRNA from 1 species